GGCGUGUGCUCAGGGCAGGGCCUGGAGACCGGCACCUCUGCUUACACACACCCAGCAGGAACCCACAGUCGCUGUGGCAGGGACACGAAACGUGCAAGGCGGGUUCUCUAUGAGCAAAUGCUAUACGUGC
rfam:Tupaia chinensis contig41403, whole genome shotgun sequence.